rnacentral:lncRNA from 1 species
AACAAAAAUAAUAAUAAUGAUAACGGAAAACUUCAAACACCACCUCUUUGAUUUCGCACUUUCUUAUUUUAAUAAUAUAUAGUUUAAAGUGUAUCAUUCUCGUACCAUGUGAUUUUAUUUUUCUUCUUUGUUAUCCUCUUUACUAAUUUUUUUUAUUAAAUUAGUGACAAAGUUAAAACUAAAGGAUACUAAAGUGAAUAUUCGAUAAACUAGAGAUAAAAUAUAUGAAGUUUUUUGUAUAUGAUUUAACGAAAAGUUAACGGAAAAACCGACGAAAAGACAAAAAUGAAAUCACAAGGUACUAUAUUGAUACAUUUUAAACUAUAGGAUACUAAAGUGAGAAAGCGCAAAACCACAAGAGUGGUAUUUGACGUUUACCUAAUAAUAAUAAUGGAGAUCUAGUUAAUGUACGCUAUCGGGUCUUGACACAUAAGCUUAAAACUUUGAAUUAUGAUACUAAGGGCCCGUUUGGUUCGAGUUAUGUAAUAUUACAAAGUACCUCGACAUAUCUAGAUAUCUUGGAUUUCGGCGUGAGAUUACUACUGAUGCUGCAUUAGUGCGUUUGAUUUAAUACAGUAAUGUAAUACUAGAUUACAGUGUUUACAUCAUUAAUAUGUUUGCUUCAGUUUAUAAAAUUUAGUAAUUAUGACAUAAAAGUAUAGUUUUUUUCAAAAUUGUCCUUGUUGUGGUCAUUUGAAUAUUUUUUUUUACAAAAAUAUAAUUUGCAGUAGUAAAUUAAUUAUAUUAAUAAGUAAUAAACCAAAAAUACCUAACAUGAAAAAAAAUUAACGUUGCAAAAAAUUAAUUUCAACCCAUAAAAGAAUAAAUAGAAAAAAAAUAUUAUACAUAAUGAAAAAUCAUAUAAUAAUAAAUAAAUUUUAAUAGAAGAUGAUAAGUGUUCGUGCACGAGAGAGAAAGAGAUAUAGAUAGAGAUAGACGUGCGAGAGAGAGAGCGAGAGAAAGGGGCGUGCGAGAGAGAGGGGGAAGGCGAGAGAGAUGAAAAUAAUAAUGUUAAUUAGAUUCGGGAUUGUUGAAGGGUAAAAUUGUCAUUUUACAUAAUAUUUAGUAUUAACGGGUUUCAGUAAUGCAAGAUACACGACCCCCCUACCGUUAAUAUUUUUGAUGUAAUCCUGCUCGAUUUGUAAUGCUACAUUAACGAUUAGAUUACGUAGCGGAUGUACUAAACAUAGUUAUCCUGGCAGGAUUGUUUGUAAUCCUGCCAGGAUAACUCGAACCAAACGCACCCUAAGUAAUAUAUUUUUUUCAUAUUUUUUGAGAUAAAGAUAGCAAGCUACACAGUUGUUCUUUUUUGUUCAGAAAUAAAUUUAUUAUGAAUGUGAAGUAAUGAGAUUUUGAAUUUGGGACAUCGGAUAUCAAUCAUUAAGCUUUUAGCUAACUGUGCUAGAUACAGCCGGU